GAGUUUGAUCGUGGCUCAGGAUGAACGCUGGCGGCGUGCUUAACACAUGCAAGUCGAACGGGGCCACCAUUUUUGAAGCGAUUAGCUUGCUAAGAGUGGAAAUGUUGGCGGCUUAGUGGCGGACGGGUGAGUAACGCGUGGGUAACCUGCCAUAUACAGGGGGAUAACACUUAGAAAUAGGUGCUAAUACCGCAUAAGCGCACGGAGCUGCAUGGCUCAGUGUGAAAAACUCCGGUGGUAUAUGAUGGACCCGCGUCUGAUUAGCUUGUUGGCGGGGUAACGGCCCACCAAGGCGACGAUCAGUAGCCGGCCUGAGAGGGUGGACGGCCACAUUGGGACUGAGACACGGCCCAAACUCCUACGGGAGGCAGCAGUGGGGAAUAUUGGACAAUGGGGGGGAACCCUGAUCCAGCGACGCCGCGUGAGUGAAGAAGUAUCUCGGUAUGUAAAGCUCUAUCAGCAGGGAGAAAGAAUGACGGUACCUGACCAAGAAGCCCCGGCUAACUACGUGCCAGCCGCCG
rnacentral:rRNA from 1 species